rnacentral:rRNA from 1 species
CGCCUCUUGUAAAGCUUAAAAAUAAGAGGUCCCGCCUGCCCUGUGACUGUAAGUUUAACGGCCGCGGUAUUUUGACCGUGCGAAGGUAGCGCAAUCACUUGUCUUUUAAAUGGAGACCUGUAUGAAUGGCAUAACGAGGGCUUAACUGUCUCCUCUUUUAAGUCAGUGAAAUUGAUCUCCCCGUGCAGAAGCGGGGAUAACAACAUAAGACGAGAAGACCCUAUGAAGCUUUAGAUGUAAGGCAGAUCAUGUUAAACACUCCUUAAUAAGGGACUAAACCAAGUGAGUCCUGUCCUAGUGUCUUUGGUUGGGGCGACCGCGGGGAAAGAAAAAACCCCCACGUGGAACGGGAGUACGCCCUCCUACAACUAAGAGCUGCUGCUCUAGUUAACAGAAUUUCUGACCAGCAAGAUCCGGCAACGCCGAUCAACGGACCGAGUUACUCUAGGGAUAACAGCGCAAUCCCCUUUUAGAGCCCAUAUCGACAAGGGGGUUUACGACCUCGAUGUUGGAUCAGGACAUCCUAAUGGUGCAGCCGCUAUUAAGGGUUCGUUUGUUCAACGAUUAAAGUCCU